UACGUAGGGUGCAAGCGUUGUCCGGAAUUAUUGGGCGUAAAGAGCUCGUAGGCGGUCUGUCGCGUCUGCUGUGAAAACUCAGGGCUUAACCCUGAGCUUGCAGUGGGUACGGGCAGACUAGAGUGUGGUAGGGGAGACUGGAAUUCCUGGUGUAGCGGUGAAAUGCGCAGAUAUCAGGAGGAACACCAGGUGGCGAAGGCG
rnacentral:rRNA from 1 species